AUGGCUCUGCUCCCCUGCCGCCACGGGACGGGACGGGACAGGACGGGAUGGGACGGGACGGGCUGGGGCGGGAGAGGCGGCUGCGCCCGAUUUGAAGGCGACGGGCGGCGACGCCCCGAUCCUCGGGCGCUGAUAAGGAGACUGCAGCGCUCCGGCCCCCUGGCCCGUCCUUGCCUGUUGUCGCCCCGUGCCCGUCGUCGCCCAGGCUCUCCCCAGCCUUCCCCCAGCACCGUCGGGGUGGCCCGGGGGAGGCAGUGCCAUCUCUCAAGAGCCCGCUCCAACAGAGGGAAGGCGGCUCCACCAGCCCCCGUCCCGCCAGGGCACGAGGUGUGCGGCCGGGAAAGACGGCAGUGCUCAUUCCUGGGGUCCAGGGAAAGACGGCAGUGCCCGUUCCUGGGGUCCAGGGAAAGACGGCAGUGCCCGUUCCUGGGGUCCAGGGAAAGACGGCAGUGCCCGUUCCUGGGGUCCAGGGAAAGACGGCAGUGCCCGUUCCUGGGGUCACCCCCGCCGCUCCCGAAAGUAAAGCCAAGUCCGAGGGUGUCCCACAGACUCGCUGGGAAUUUAUCCAAGCUCCGCGUGUGCCGGGGGCUGCCCGUGGGCAGGUGCUUGUGGCGACGCGGAGCUUGGGACUCUGCUUGGGCUGCGGGCGCGCGCCAAGAAGCUCCCAGCCUUCCCGUGCCCCAAACGCUGGCUGCGAAGGCGCGGGAGGGACAAGCAGGGCUGGGGCCAAGGCUGACGCCGGGGCCGGACAGGGAAGGGGCAGGUACCGGGACAGGUACCGGGACAGGUACCGGGACAGGUACCGGCACAGGGAGCGGACAGCAGCGCUCCGCCAGCCCCGCUCCCCGGCGCCUCCACAGCGCCCACCCGAGGCGGCGCACGCCCCCUGGCGGCCCCGCGCGGCGCUGUGGGCCACGGGCGGCUCCCCGCGUCGCAGCCCCGUGUGACGUCACCCGCCCGCGCGCCGUCGCCGCCGCCAUGGGCAAGAGGCGCGGCGGGGCCGCCAAGGCCGGCAGCGGCAAUGGCAGCGGCAGCGUGUUCCGCAUCGCCCGCAGCGGCGUCCUCAGGGCCAGGGCCAAGGGAAAGGCGCGGCCCGUCACCUCCGGGCUGAAGCAGAUAAACAUUAAAAAUGCCGAAAAAGUUAGCGCGAUAAAUAAAGCAUUUGCUGAAGUUCAGAAAGAAAUCCAGCAGCUAUCAAAAGGUACCACAGCAGAACCGCAGAACACUCAGCAGGUUUCCACAAAUCUGGAAGAGGAACCAGCAAACGUGGAUGCUGCCACAAGCCUGUUAUCUCAGUUGUAAUGCAAAAUGGACAAUGAUGGGGUUACAAGAAAUGAAAGACCACAAAUACUGAUGGCUUUGUUUGCACAAUUUUAUUAAAAAAAUCUUGUUAAUAUACAA